UACGGAGGGUGCAAGCGUUAUCCGGAUUCACUGGGCUUAAAGGGUGCGUAGGUGGGCAUGUAAGUCAGUGGUGAAAUCUCCGGGCUUAACCCGGAAACUGCCAUUGAUACUAUUUGUCUUGAAUACUGUGGAGGUCAGCGGAAUAUGUCAUGUAGCGGUGAAAUGCUUAGAUAUGACCCGGAACACCGAUGGCGAAGGCAGCCCACUAAGCAAUGAUUGACGCUGAGGCACGAAAGCGUGGGGAUCAAACAGG
rnacentral:rRNA from 1 species